rnacentral:rRNA from 1 species
AUGCUUAGUGGCGGACUGGUGAGUAACGCGUGAGGAACCUGCCUUCCAGAGGGGGACAACAGUUGGAAACGACUGCUAAUACCGCAUGACGCAUGACCGGGGCAUCCCGGACAUGCCAAAGAUUUAUCGCUGGAAGAUGGCCUCGCGUCUGAUUAGCUAGUAGGCGGGGUAACGGCCCACCUAGGCGACGAUCAGUAGCCGGACUGAGAGGUUGACCGGCCACAUUGGGACUGAGAUACGGCCCAGACUCC